UACGGAGGGUGCGAGCGUUAAUCGGAAUUACUGGGUGUAAAGCGCGCGUAGGCGGCUUGUUAAGCUGGGUGUGAAAGCCCCGGGCUCAACCUGGGAACUGCAUCCAGAACUGGCAGGCUAGAGUACAGUAGAGGUGAGUGGAAUUUCCUGUGUAGCGGUGAAAUGCGUAGAUAUAGGAAGGAACACCAGUGGCGAAGGCGGCUCACUGGGCUGAUACUGACGCUGAGGUGCGAAAGCGUGGGGAGCAAACAGG
rnacentral:misc_RNA from 1 species